AGUCUCCAUUGCCUACCAUAACCCUGUCAUUUCCAUCAUAUUCUUGUGGCGUGUCCAAGUGUUGAGCAGAGUUGGUUACAUGAGCAGUGGAGCCACUGUCUGGGUACCACUCCGCUCCGUUCUGUCUGCUGUUGGAGCCUGUCGUUAAGACGUUGGCCUGAGGAGGGUCUGGAACAUAGAAGUUCUCGUCAAAACAGUAGUGACACUUGUAAGCUGGAUGUCCAUAUUUGCCACAGAUUUGGCAAGUAGGUCGUGGGUUGUUGUUGGAGGAACCGCGUCCCUGAUGAGCACCUUGACCAAACUGUUGGGGGAAUCCUCUGCCUUGUGUAAAGUAGGAGCCACGACCUCUGUAACCUCCUCUGUUUUGACCUCGUCCUCUUCCAGCGUAUCCACCACGAUUCACAUAAUAAGCCUGAUGUGGAGACGGUUCAGCAGGUACUUCAUAUGAGCUCAGCUUGUCGUCAAAUCCUGUGAGCUUGUGAGCAACGUCAUCAAAGCACAGACCAGGAGCAAGAUCCAUGGAGUGUUCAAUGACGGUACACAUAGCUUCGUACUCCUUUCCUAGCCCAUUCAGGACUCCAUAUAUCUUCUCUUGCUCAGUAAUGGGAGCUCCAAUCGAAUCUAGCUGAUCACAGAGAGACUUGAUCUCAGCUAGAUACACCGACAUAGUUUUGGUUCCUUUCUUUGUCGUUUGAACCUUCCUCUGGAGAUCGAGACGACGUGUUGCUGAGACGCGGUUGAACUUCUUCGCUAGAGCCAGCCACACCUCUUGAGAUGUGUGAAGGCCGUAAACGGAUUUGAGAGCAUCUUCCGUCAGUGUUCCAUACAUCCAGGCUAAGAUAAGUUGAUCUUUCUGCAUCCACUUGUUGUAUUCGGGAUUGACAGCUUGGGUUUCUUCUUCGCCUUGUUGUACAGUAACUGUCGGGAGAGGACGUAGCGUUGCUCCGGUGACAUGACCAAGGAGCAUUUGGCUUGAAAGAAACUGCUCGAAUUGCAACUUCCAUAGAAGAUAGUUGCCUUCUUUGAGCUUUAGAGUUACAGCCUGCGUGAUUGUCAACGCAGAAACCGCAAGAACUUCCUGUUCUUCAUCCAUGAUCUACUUCCAGAGCUCUGAUACCAUAAAGAAAGAUGAGAUGAUUCUCGAACUCUGACAGCUAGCCCUGACAGCUCUCUGACAGCUCACUCUCCUUGCUCCAAUAGUGAGUCAAACGGUUGCGCAAGAUGACUUGACCAGCUGGUAUUGCAGGGCUUGGAGUGGGCUUCUUUGCUUGACGGGCCAGCUGCUUUACUUCUUCAGAUCCAUUGGGUCUUAUACUAUAUUCCUCUUGCUAAAAAAGGAAUUGUAAAAUUAAGAUAGUAUGGAACUUUGUUGUACCUUCGUAGACAAGAUCGGAGCUUGUGUACUUGUCUGAAAGUACAGGUUUUGGAUUUUAAAAGUCUUUGCUUUUCUUCAGAACACUGAAAGUACAGGUUUUGGAUUUUAAAAGUCUUAUUCUAUUUGUUU